GCUAAACUAGUGAAGGAAAGACAAGAGAGGGUCCUCAAGCAACCUAUCAAAGAGACUAGUUCCAUUGGACUACAAUUCAAUUACUUAGAGGAGCAAUUACAGACAAAAAAUUCAAAACAAGACACUCCAUUUUCAAGAUUCUUAAUUCUAAUUUAUUUACUAUUCAUUUCUUUUGUGCUAUCUACGAAUUACAACUCAAAGCAAUUUAUUGCUCCAUUGCCAGGUGUGGAGAUUAUUGCUUCUACCAAUCUAUUAGUAGCUGGUGGUAGUCACACUCAGUUACACUGGGAGGAAUAUGGUCUUAUACUUGAUGUUCCACCUAAUGCUCUUCC